GGUGAGUAACACGUGGGCAACCUACCCUAUAGUUUGGGAUAACUCCGGGAAACCGGGGCUAAUACCGAAUAAUCUCUUUUGCUUCAUGGUGAAAGACUGAAAGACGGUUUCGGCUGUCGCUAUAGGAUGGGCCCGCGGCGCAUUAGCUAGUUGGUGAGGUAACGGCUCACCAAGGCGACGAUGCGUAGCCGACCUGAGAGGGUGAUCGGCCACACUGGGACUGAGACACGGCCCAGACUCCUACGGGAGGCAGCAGUAGGGAAUCUUCCACAAUGGGCGAAAGCCUGAUGGAGCAACGCCGCGUGAGUGAAGAAGGUUUUCGGAUCGUAAAACUCUGUUGUAAGGGAAGAACAAGUACAGUAGUAACUGGCUGUACCUUGACGGUACCUUAUUAGAAAGCCACGGCUAACUACGUGCCAGCAGCCGCGGUAAUACGUAGGUGGCAAGCGUUGUCCGGAAUUAUUGGGCGUAAAGCGCGCGCAGGCGGUCCUUUAAGUCUGAUGUGAAAGCCCACGGCUCAAC
rnacentral:rRNA from 1 species